ACGUCCGCACAGAUGUUCCUACGCUCACAGAAUACUCGCUUACAUCACUCGAGCAACUCGAUCAUCCCAACAAACGCCGUCGAUUGUAUUCCGUAUUCCGCAGGGUCUUCGAUAAAAAAUCCCAAUACAAUCGAAAUCGAGUACAUACAUGGUGGUAAAAAAUAAUCUUUCCGUAUAAAUUGACGCACCCAAUUCAUCGAGCGUGAAUCUUUUCUUUCCGCGAACCGAAUUUCCAGUCAUAUCCCGGUCGUUUCUUCGCAGAAUUGGGAUACGAGUCCUUUGGAAUGAGGAAUAAAAACUCGUUAUGACCGCGACUGACAAUGAGGCGAGAAAAUCGCUCGUGUGUCACAAAUCCGACGCAAUCCGUAAUUUUCAACGGUCACCGAUACCUUUGUCGUUAUACACACCUUUGAAUCCCAGCCAUCUUAUCGUUGCAGAUAAUUCCUAAUAUAAAAAGGGCGCAGAAUAAUCAAAUUCCAGUCGAAAUGAAAUCCCAGACGAUUCAGACACUGUCCAUCCUAUUGGCAUCCGCCACAUUUUGCAUGGGUGGAUUGGAUGUCUUGUACGAAUGGAAAUACAUCGCUUACGAAUGGGAUAAUCCAUACGACGAGUCAUCCUCCAGGUCAGACGGACGGUACGACCGGAAGAGGAUAGUUCCCAAUGACGUUCAACAGCUCUCUGAUGGUCGUGUUCUGGUAACAACUCCGAAGUAUUACGACAACCCCGCAAGUUUGUCGAUCGUGUCAAGUAGAAGCGAGAAUGGUGGCCCGCUUUUGGCACCCUAUCCCAGUUGGGAUUGGCACAAGAAGUCGGGUGACUGUUCCGGCAUCACCAGUGUCAACAGAGUCAGAGUGGACCGAUGCAAUCGGCUUUGGGUCGUCGAUUCCGGCAAAAUAGGCGACGAACAAGUGUGCCCCGCUAAAAUUUUAACCUUCGAUCCCACUACGGAUGAAUUGUUGGACACUUUUGAAAUUCCAACCGAGUUGACCUACAACCCCGACGAUCCGAGCCAAGGAAGAGUGGAGAUCCAGGUCGUCGAAACGAUCGGCGAUAAUUGUGAACAGACUUGGGCAUACAUAGGUGAUCCGGAAGGUUUUGGUCUCCUCAUCUACAAUGGGACAAGUAUUUGGCGCCUCAACGACAAGAUCUUCGCACCGGAAGCAGAACAAACGAACUUCGUAAUAGACAAUGAAAGUGUAAGAUUGGAUAUCGGAGUAGGCAGCAUGCUUUUACCCCCGUCGGGAUUCGUCGAGGAACAACCGGUACUCUUCAAGCCUCUGGCGUCCGUCAAAGGAUACGCGGCGACCCGCGAACAGAUGCACUACUCCUAUUCGGGAAUAGAUAUCCAGUACUACAUGUGCAACUACACUAUACCGAGCCAAGAACUUGCCAGGGAUUACUCGUCGGACGGUGUCUUGAUUGCCGGUUUUCCCCUGCAAACAGCCAUCGCUUGCUGGAACCUUCAGUAUCCUCUGGUCGAUCCUUACGUGGAAAUUUUGGACCAAGAUUCAGAGAAGCUGCAGUUCGUCAGCGGUCUGAAAAUCACCAAAGGAAUCCAAAAUGGCGUCGAGGGCGAAAAUGUCUGGGUGAUGACCAAUCGUUACCAGAAGUUUCGUUUGGGAUCUCUGGAUUUCUCCGACGUGAAUUUCAGGAUUUUAGGAUCGAACGUCGCAGAUCUCGUCAAGGGCACUUAUUGCGAGACGAAGUCGCACGAGCUCGUCCCUACGAUGGAAGAAAAAUUUUUCUUUAAAAUAGAAAACUAGCUGCCCUUAGGCCAGACCACGAGGACUCGAUUGCAAAUCGGCAAUUUUCGAAUCUUAAUAACUUUCUUUCGAAUAGUUGCAAAAUCUAAAUAAAUUAUAAUUCGACAUGCCGGAGAAUUUUCGAGGUGCCGAUAUGUGUAUGAGAACGGGUAACGUGGCAACGGAUCCAAUGAAAAUACCCGACUUCAAAAAAGCUCUUGCACAGUUCCUGACUCGUAUACGAGACGAUCAUCGGCCCCUCAUUUCGCAAGGCCUUCGAAAAGGAAACGUUCGAAAUAUCGAGCGGUGAAUCUUACCCGAGAUCAACGGGUACGUUCCACUUAUUUUAUUUAUGAUCCUGUGAGGAGUGCGCUGGAAUUUGAAAUGAUAUGCACCGUUUAUACGACCAGCUACCAUUUCGCAACCGGUUCUAUCCACAUAUGAGUAAGGUAAACAAACAUGAUUGUUUACCGUGUUGUAUCGAGAACGGAAUUACUCGUUUUAUCCGACACGUUGGUAUACUCGUGUAUAUUUGUUCACAUCGAUCGAGCAAAUCGUCUAUUCCAACAAGAGCAGUCGUUACGA